rnacentral:tRNA from 1 species
GCCGCGAUAGCUCAGUUGGUAGAGCGCAUCCAUGGUAAGGAUGAGGUCUCGGGUUCGACUCCCGAUCGUGGCUCCA